rnacentral:lncRNA from 1 species
GGGAUGUGUGAUGUGUGAUGUGCGCGGGGCCGGGCGGGCGGGCGCGGGGCCCUGGCGCUCGGUGUAGGAUGGGGGUGCGAGUGUGGGAUGUGGGGUGUGGGCGGGGAUGGGGCGGGCGCGGGCGGGGCGCGGGGCCCGGGCGCGGGGCGCAGCGCGGGGCGCGGGGAUGGCGCCGGGGCGGGGAGCCCGGGUGGCCGGGCGCACGCGUCGAGCCGAGCGCACGGAGACGGGGUGUCCAGCAGAGCGGCCCGAGCCCUGCCCGCGGGAGAAGCGACCGGGUCGGCGCGGCGGGACACGGGGCCAUGCGGCUGCCCCGCCCCAGCACUGCAGCCCGCAGUCCAGCCCAACAGGCGCAGGACACAGGCCCCUUCCUUCGGGAAGGACAGGCUAGGGCCCCGCGCCCAGGGCCCGUCCUCCCUGCGUCUGCACGCACACCAGUCCUGCUCUGUUUCAUUUUCACGACGUGUUCCUUUCUGUCCUCCCCGCCACCCAUCGACCCUCCUAUCACCCGCCGGCCUUCGGCAGUCACCCGAGACCUCACGAGGCCCUUCUUUCUGAACGACACCAGCUGUCAGGUUAGGAAUCGGCCCAGCUGUGUGCAGAGCGAGGAGGCCGGGAGUGGGCUGGGGCUUCUCUCAGGCAGUCCUCCUCGUGGCCUGCAGUUGCCUCCCUCCUGCUGGCACCUGUGCAGCAUGACCUCUGCUCAGGGCCACAGGUGCUGGGGACAGUUACCAAACCCUCCUCAGGGAGAGACACAGGCAUGCUCACAACUGUGCCUGCAUCGGUGCACACACACACACACCUGUACUUGCACCCAUACAUAUACAUACACACACCUGGACAUGUACAUACAAACACACCUGUGCCUGCACACAUACACAUACACCUAUACAUGUACACACACACACCCAUAAUGUACACACAGACCUAUACAUGUGUGCACACACAUGUAUAUGCACAUACAUACACCUGUGACUUCACAUGUACAUACACACAGCUGUACAUGUAUACACACACCUGUGUCUGCACACAUACACACACAUGCACACCUGUACAUGUACACUUUGCAUGAACAUACACCUGUGCAUGUGCACACACCUGUACAUGCACAUGUGCAUAUACACACCUGUACAUGCACAUACACACACCUGUACAUGUACACACACAGCUGUACAUGCGCACACACCUGUGCAUGUACACACAUCUGUACAUGCACAUACAGACCUGCUCUUUCACGUGUGCAUACACACCUGUAUGUGUGCAUACACGCAGCUGUACAUGCACAC